rnacentral:rRNA from 1 species
GAAGACAGUCAUAAUGGGUUGGAAACACCUGUUCCCUUUCCGAACACAGAAGUUAAGCUUCCUAUGUUGAUGGCGGUAGUGCCCGAAAAGGUGCAAAAUCAUCAAGCUGUCUUUC